rnacentral:rRNA from 1 species
CAGCAGGCGCGAAAACUUUACAAUGCGGGAAACCGUGAUAAGGGGACACCGAGUGCCAGCAUCAUAUGCUGGCUGUCCAGGUGUGUAAAAUACACCUGUUAGCAAGGGCCGGGCAAGACCGGUGCCAGCCGCCGCGGUAACACCGGCGGCCCGAGUGGUGAUCGUGAUUAUUGGGUCUAAAGGGUCCGUAGCCGGUUUGGUCAGUCCUCCGGGAAAUCUGACGGCUCAACCGUUAGGCUUUCGGGGGAUACUGCCAGGCUUGGAACCGGGAGAGGUAAGAGGUACUACAGGGGUAGGAGUGAAAUCUUGUAAUCCCUGUGAGACCACCUGUGGCGAAGGCGUCUUACCAGAACGGGUUCGACGGUGAGGGACGAAAGCUGGGGGCACGAACCGGAUUAGAUACCCGGGUAGUCCCAGCCGUAAACGAUGCUCGCUAGGUGUCAGGCAUGGCGCGACCGUGUCUGGUGCCGCAGGGAAGCCGUGAAGCGAGCCACCUGGGAAGUACGGCCGCAAGGCUGAAACUUAAAGGAAUUGGCGGGGGAGCAC